AGACGCUGGCGGCGUGCCUAACACAUGCAAAGUCGAACGGAGAUAUGAUUUCGGUUGUAUCUUAGUGGCGAACGGGUGGAGUAACGCGUGAGCAACCUGACUCUUAGAGGGGGAUAACACCCGGAAACGAGUGCUAAUACCGCAUAAGACCACGACAUGGCAUCAUGACGAGGUCAAAGGAGCAAUCCGCUGAGAGAGGGGCUCGCGUCCCAUUAGAUAGAUGGCGGGGUAAUGGCCCACCAUGUCAGCGAUGGGUAGCCGAGCUGAGAGGCUGAUCGGCCACACUGGAACUGAGACACGGUCCAGACUCCUACGGGAGGCAGCAGUGGGGAAUAUUGGGCAAUGGGCGCAAGCCUGACCCAGCAACGCCGCGUGAGGGAAGAAGGCUUUCGGGUUGUAAACUUCUGUCCUUGGUGACGAAAAAAAAUGACGGUAGCCAAGGAGGAAGCCCCGGCUAACUACGUG
rnacentral:rRNA from 1 species